UUCUUACGCAACAAUUUCAUUGUUACCUCGACCAGUUCGAAUUUUCAAAACGGCUUAAUUCAGGAUAAUCUUCUGUACGAUGUCAUCUGGUAAACACUUUUCGCUAAACACUUUUUCAGGCACAUACCCUUUCUAACAGAAUUGUUCCAGAACGAGAAACAGUCAGAAGAGAGACUUAAGGUGAGAUGUCUCACGAAUCCAGUAAAGUUGAUAUGAGCCAGGUGUGAGACAAGCAUAUUGGCUGAAAAAGAACAAUUCCAGAACAGAGCAGAAAACAUGUGUGGAAAAGUAUGGUGUAGUUUGUGGACUCAAAGAUGGCUUUGUAUCCAGUAACAAAGAGCAAACAACCUACCAUGACACAUGAACCUUGUAACAGCCUUUGUCAAGAGAGAGUCUCUGUGGCUCAGUGUCCGAUUGUGGGGUUGAUUCAGAAAGUCUGAGAUUUGAUUUCCCAUCAGGAUUGUUAUGUCCCCUACUUGUGAUGCGACAAAAAACAUCCUUCUUGAUCAUAUUAAACCAAACUUGCUUUGUAUUCAUUUUAUGCCCUUGCAAGCUACUGAAACAAGAUUUCAACCUAUUGGUAAUAUAAAUAAUCCUCUAUUUUGCUUAGAUCUUUAAAUUUUCACCUGCUCCUAGAGUUCACACUCCUAAGAUAUAGAACUCAUUCAAAACUUAACUUACUCAAUUAUGGCUUAUUUGAGGGAAAAGGCACAUUAUUAGCAUCAGCCAAGCAAUCUAUUUUCUGAUAUGUUAGUUAACCCUUCAACUCCCAAGAUCUAAUUGCUAAUUCUCCCCUCAAGCUGCUACACAUUUCUUUGUAAGUUAGUUAUGAGAAUUUGACGUUAGAUCAAGACAACAACUUCUACCUGAGUAUUCUUAUUACCUUUUUGCCAAGUAAUAUAUGGAUAUUAUAGGGAGAAGUCACAUGUUAGUUACUUCUGGGAGUUAAGGUUACUUCCCACCUUCAGAGACAAUGGGUUACUUUUCGCGGGAAAUCUUGAUCCACCAUCAUUGAUGCCAGGAGGUCCCUUUGUCCUAUUGGUGUGCAGUUUCAGGAAGUGAGAUAAUCUCCUGGCAUGGCACAAGUUGUUUGUGAACCUUUAGGAGCUAAAAUCUCAUGUUUGAUAUAGGGAGGAAUACAACAACUUUGAGCAAAUUUAUAGGAUGUAUAGAUUUGAUCGAUUUUCAUCAAAUUUCCCCAAAGCAUCCUAGGAAUAAUGACAAAGGAAAGUGUGUUGAGAAAUUUUGAUAUUUGAAAUAUUUGUCUUGUGGAGUCCAUUUACGCAACACGUCUCAAAUAUUUUUAGCUAGUCUAACUUUAGAUCCCGAUAUCAACUCAACCAAUCAGAAUAUCGAAAAAGCCAGACACACUCUUGUUGAUUGAUGCCUUGUGAAUGAGACUGCAGCCAUUUUGCUCAUGCAGCAGCAUCCAAUGCCCGAUAAAUUCAAUAGAAGAACCUUUGGUUGCUUUAUGCCUUACUGGCUUCUGACACUUCCUCAAAGAAAAGUUGCUUAAGUUAUAUUUUUAUAGUAAUCUGCAUUUAUUAAGCUUUCCUCUGAUAUAUGGUUUCCUAUGAUUUUGGUUAAACUAGCACGAGUACAAAAUUUUUUCCCAAAAGACACCAGCAAAGCUGGGAAGUAACCUAAACUCUUUAACUCCCAGAUCAAAUUUCUAAUUCUCCUAGAUGUCAACCAUACAAUUCCUAUAAUGUUAGUUCAGACAAUUUAGUAUUGGAUCAACUAAUUAUUUCCAAAUUGAUAUUUUUCUUUAAUCUCCUCACUUAUCUGGUUGAUAUUGUGUUGAUAUUAUAAGGAGAAAUUCUGUCUUGGUCACUCGUGGGAGUUAAAUGGUUAAAGGAUUUAGAAUUAUCUUGA